CGCGGUAAUACGUAGGUGGCAAGCGUUGUCCGGAUUUAUUGGGCGUAAAGCGAGCGCAGGCGGUUUUUAAGUCUGAUGUGAAAGCCUUCGGCUCAACCGAAGAAGUGCAUCGGAAACUGGGAAACUUGAGUGCAGAAGAGGACAGUGGAACUCCAUGUGUAGCGGUGAAAUGCGUAGAUAUAUGGAAGAACACCAGUGGCGAAGGCGGCUGUCUGGUCUGUAACUGACGCUGAGGCUCGAAAGUAUGGGUAGCAAACAGGAUUAGAUACCCUGGUAGUCCAUACCGUAAACGAUGAAUGCUAAGUGUUGGAGGGUUUCCGCCCUUCAGUGCUGCAGCUAACGCAUUAAGCAUUCCGCCUGGGGAGUACGGCCGCAAGGCUGAAACUCAAAGGAAUUGACGGGGGCCCGCACAAGCGGUGGAGCAUGUGGUUUAAUUCGAAGCUACGCGAAGAACCUUACCAGGUCUUGACAUACUAUGCAAAUCUAAGAGAUUAGACGUUCCCUUCGGGGACAUGGAUACAGGUGGUGCAUGGUUGUCGUCAGCUCGUGUCGUGAGAUGUUGGGUUAAGUCCCGCAACGAGCGCAACCCUUAUUAUCAGUUGCCAGCAUUAAGUUGGGCACUCUGGUGAGACUGCCGGUGACAAACCGGAGGAAGGUGGGGAUGACGUCAAAUCAUCAUGCCCCUUAUGACCUGGGCUACACACGUGCUACAAUGGAUGGUACAACGAGUUGCGAACUCGCGAGAGUAAGCUAAUCUCUUAAAGCCAUUCUCAGUUCGGAUUGUAGGCUGCAACUCGCCUACAUGAAGUCGGAAUCGCUAGUAAUCGCGGAUCAGCAUGCCGCGGUGAAUACGUUCCCGGGCCUUGUACACACCGCCCGUCACACCAUGAGAGUUUGUAACACCCAAAGUCGGUGGGGUAACCU
rnacentral:rRNA from 2 species